UCAGAUUGAUUUUAAUUGAAUGGAUCUCUCGAUCUUAAAAUUGAUUUACACUCUUAACCUUUUUUCGUUUUGGUAUAAUGUAAAAACUUAUAUAAGAGAUUUUUUACAAAAACAGAAAUUAAACAAAGAAAAACAUAAAAAUAAAAAUUAUGUAGUAAACAAUAGUACUACAGGAGAGGCCACAAAAGAAGAAAUUAACAAAAGGAGCUGGAACGUUCUGAGUUCUGACAGAAAAAGCCACGAGAAAACCGUCGAUGUUGCCACGAGUGAACCGCGAUUCGAACCCAGCCUUUAACAUAUAAUUAGGAUCGAGUUAGAGAAGGUUAAAGAUGACAAAAAGAGAGUUUGAAAUCAAUUUUUGGACUGAUUAAAAUAGAUAAACAUAAAAAUAAAACAAAGAAAAACAUAAAACUAAAAACUGCAGAAACAACAGUACUGCAGAAGGCCACAAAAGAUGAAAUUAACGACAGGAGCUAGCAUGUUCUGACGAAAGAAGACACGAGAAAACCGUCGAUGUUGCCACAAGUGAACUGCGACCUGAACCUACCUUUUAACAUAUCAUUAGCAUCGAGUUAGAGAAGGUAAAAGAUGACAAAAAGAGAGUUCGAAAUCAAUUUUUGGACUGUUAAAAUAGAUAAACGAAACAAAAAAUUUCACCCAAACUGACAUUAAUUGAAUGGAUCUUUCGAUCUUAAACUUGAAUUACACUCUUAAAUAUUUUGUUUUGGUAAAAUGUAAAAAUUUAUACUAGAUUUCAUAUUUUUUACAAAAAUGGAAAUAAAACAAAGAGAAAAAUAAAACUAAAAACUAUGCAGCAAACAACAGUACUGUAGAAGGCCACAAAAGAUAAAAUUAACGAAAGGAGCUCGAAAUUCCUGAUGGAAGAAGACACGAGAAAACCGUCGACGUUGCCACGAGUGAACUGCGAUCAGAACCCAGCCCUUAACAUAUCAUUAAGAUCGAGUUAGAGAAGGUGAAAGAUGACAAAAAGAGAGUUUGAAAUCAUUUUUUGGAAUGUUUAAAAUAGAUAAACAAAACAAAAAAAGUUCAACUAAACUGAUAUUAAUUGAAUGGAUCUCUCGAUCUUAAAAUUGAAUUACACUCUUCACUUUUUUUUUGUUUUGGUAAAACAUAAAGAAUUUAUACUAGAUUUUAGAUUUUUUACAGACACAAAAGUAAACGAAGAGAAACAUAAAACUAAAAAAAACUAGGCAGCAAACAACAGUACUCGAGAAGACCACAAAAGAUAAAAUUAACCAAAGGAGCUAGAACGUUCUGAGGGAAGAUGACACGAGAAAAUCGUCGAUGUUGCCACGAGUAAACUGCUAUCCUAUCGUAGCCUUUAACAUAUCAUUAGGAUUGAGUUACAGAAGGUAAAAGAUGACAAAAAAGAGUUUGAAAUCAAUGUUUGGACUGUUUAAAAAUCGAUAAACAAAAAAUAAAAGUUCACCCAAACUGAAAUUAAUUGAAUUGAUUUCUCGAUCUUAAAAUUGAAUUACACUCUUAACUUUUUUGUUUUGGUAAAAUAUAAAAAUUUAUACUAGAUUUAAGAUUUUAUACAAAAAACGGAAAUAAAAUAAAGAGAAACACAAAAGCAAAACCAUGCAGCAAACAAUAGUACUGUAGAAGGCCGUAAAGGAUGAAAUUAACGAAAUGAGCUAGAAAGCUCUGACGGAAGAAAACACUAGAAAACCGUUGAUGUUGCCACGAGUUAACCGCGAUCCGAACUUACCCUUUCAAAUAUCAUUAGAAUCGAGUUAGAGAAGGUAAAAGAUGACAAAAAGAGAGUUUGAAAUCAAUUAUUGGACUGUUUAAAUAGAGAAACAAAAUAAAACAUUUCACCCAAACUAAUAUUAAUUGAAUGAGUCUCUCGAUCUUAAAAUUGAAUUACACUGUUAACUUUUUUUUGUUUUGGUAAAAUGUAAAAAUUUAUAAUAGAUUUUUGACUUUUUACAAACGCGGAACUAAAAAAGAGAAACAUAAAUCUAAAAACUAUGCAGCCCUGCAAAAGGCCACAAAAUAUGAAAUGAACGAAAAUAGCUAGAACGUUAUGACAGAAGAAGAGAAGCAAAAACCGUUGAUGUUUUCACGAGUGAACCGCGAUCCGAAGUUAGCCUUUAAAAUAUCAUUAAGAUCGAGUUAGAGAAGGUAAUAGAUGACAAAAAGAGAGUUUGAAAUCUUUUAUUGGACUGUUUAAAAUAAAGAAACAGAGCAAAACAUUUCACGAAACUGAUAUUACCUGAAUGAAUAUCUCGAUCUUAAAAUUGAAUUACAAUCUUAACUUUUUUUUAUUUUGGUAAAAUGUAGAAAAAUUAUAUCAUAGAUGUUUUACAAAACCGGAAAUAAAACAUACAAAAACAUUAUAAAAAAAAACCAGGAAGCAAACAACAGUACUGCAAAAGGCCAGAAAAGAUAAAAUUAACGAAAAUUGCUCGAAAUUCCUGAUGGAAGAUGACACGAGAAAACCUUUGAUGUUGCCACGAGUGAACCGCGAUCAUAACCCAACCCUUAACAUAUCAUUAAGAUCGAGCUAGAGAAGAUAAAAGAUGACAAAAAAAAAAAGAGUUUGAAAUCAAUUUUUGGAAUGUUUAAAAUAGAUAAACAAAACAAAAAAAGUUCAGCUAAACUGAUAUUAAUCGAAUGGAUCUCUCGAUCUUAAAAUUGAAUUACACUCUUAACUUUUUUUUUGUUUUUGGUAAAAUAUAAAAAUUUAUACAAGAUUUUUGAUUUUUUACAAACACGAAAACAAAACGAAGAGAAAUAUAAAACUAAAAAAAAACUAAGCAGCAAAAACCAAUAUUCGAGAAGACCAUGAAAGAUAAAAUUAACCAAAGGAGCAAGAACGUUCUGGCGGAAGAAGACACGAGAAAACCGUCGAUGUUGCCACGAGUAAAUUGCUAUCCUAUCGUAGCUUUUAACAUAUCAUUAGGAUUGAGUUAGAGAAGGUAAAAGAUGACAAAAAGAGAGUUUGAAAUCAAUGUUUGGACUGUUUAAAAUCGAUAAACAAAAAAGAAAAGUUCACCCAAACUAACAUUAAUUGAAUUGAUCUCUCGAUCUUAAAAUUGAAUAACACUUUUAACUUUUUUGUUUUGGUAAAAUAUAAAUAUUUAUACUAGAUUUAAUAUUUUAUACAAAAACAGAAAUAAAAUAAAGAGAAACAUAAAACGAAAACCUAUGCAGCAAACA
rnacentral:lncRNA from 1 species